rnacentral:rRNA from 1 species
CCCUAUCGAGCUUUACUGGAUACCAAUAGCGUUAAUUUAGUAUGAUCGGUACUAAGUAUUCUAAUUUUAAGUUAAUAAUUUUUGUUGGCAGGACAGUUUAGUUGGGGCGACUACCUCUGAAUAGGAAACGAAGGGCGAGCUUAUGGUGUUAUUAAAAUCUCAUUAGCCUGACAGUGAGGGGAACACCCCUAGCUGGCACAGGGACUUACCCAUUACAACGUAAUGGGAUCCUAUGUGGGCGAUAAUGACCCGAUAUAAUUAUCCUAAAUAUAUAUCGAAAGCGGAUAAAAGCUACCGCAGGGAUAACAGCGUAAUAUUGUCGGAGAGUUCUUAUCG